rnacentral:lncRNA from 1 species
AAUAAGAUAAUUAUUCCUUAUUUAACUCAACUAAUUUGAGUAAAACAAGAAUAAUAAAUCUUGUUGUAUAUGUAUUUGUAUAGCAAUAAUUUACUUAAAUACAAAAUAUAAUUUACUAUUUUUCAUAAUUAUAAAAUUAUUGCUAUAAAAAUUACAUUUAAGAUUCUAUAAUUGCUAUUUCGGAAAUUUUCCCUUCCUUAUAAUCAAAAGAGAGAGAAGGCAGAAUUCUGCUAAAGAUGUGGGAAUAUGUCUAUAACUUAGUUGUAAUAGUAGAAUUAAAAAAGAGUGGGAAGUGGUCACAUUUCCGCCAAAAGCGUACCACGCAUUGAAAUAAGUCAUGCAAUACUGCUUCCUUAACAAACUUUAUUGUAACUUCAUUCACAUUAAUUACAGCCUUCGAAAAUUAAAUAAAUAAAUAAAUCAUACUAUCACUACACAUUAGGUAGGCCCCAUCUUUUAUUUUCAUGAAUGGUUGAAACUUGAAUGCUUUCUAACUGUUUGCUUUCAGCAUUAAACACUUGUGCCG